rnacentral:lncRNA from 1 species
UCUUUGGUUUCUGUGGUUCAUGAAUUUUCUGUUUCAUGAACUUCGUUUCUUAGGAAGAAUUUAUUAUUACUUUGAAUAUGUUCUAGGAACUUGGUUCUUGUCUCUUAGAAAGUUGUCAUUAAUAAGUGUAAAUUCGUAUGGAAAUUUACCUAUAAAUUUUUCAGCUUUGUAACUUCAGAAAACACACUUGAAUCAAUGAAAUUUGAGUUCAUUUUCAAGUAGUAACAUCCUAGCCUCAUUUCUCCAUUGUUCUUCAUCAAGAAUACACUUUUCUUGAUCAGUUUUUGUGCUAUUUUUUUCUUCUACACGCUGAUGCGUUGUCCCAGAAAAGUUUGCACCCCCCACGCACAGGUCCGCUGGCAUAGAUCUUCUAGAGAUAGGACGACCCAGUACAGAACCACGUCUUCCCCAUUAGUGCGCCUCCAGGGAAGAAAGAAGAGCAGGCUCACGCUUGCAGGUAGCUCAAAAGAAACUAAGAAAAAAUAAUUGAAAUUAUGAGGAGAAAAAAAUUUCUUUAUUUCU